GACGAACGCUGGCGGCGUGCUUAACACAUGCCAGUCGAACGGAAAGGCCCUGCUUUUGUGGGGUGCUCGAUUGGCGAACGGGUGAGUAACACGUGAGUAACCUGCCCUUGACUUUGGGAUAACUUCAGGAAACUGGGGCUAAUACCGGAUAGGAUCUCCUGCUGCAUGUGGGUGGUUGGAAAGUUUCGGCGGUUGGGGAUGGACUCGCGGCUUAUCAGCUUGUUGGUGGGGUAGUGGCUUACCAAGGCUUUGACGGGUAGCCGGCCUGAGAGGGUGACCGGCGACAUUGGGACUGAGAUACGGACCAGACUCCUACGGGAGGCAGCAGUGGGGAAUAUUGCAGAAUGGGCGGAAGCGUGAUGCAGCAACGCCGCGUGCGGGAUGACGGCCUUCGGGUUGUAAACAGAUUUCGCAUGUGACGAAGCGUGAGUGACGGUAAUGGGUAAAGAAGCACCGGCUAACUACGUG
rnacentral:rRNA from 1 species